CCGGGAGGUUGGCGAGUGUGCGCGCGUGUGUGUGCGCAGCGCGUGUGUGCGUGUGCGCGCGUCUACAGGUAGCAGCGGCGGCGGGGACCCGAGCAGGGGACGCUUCGGCAGCUACCUCCCGCCUGUGAUUUUUCGGAGGCGAUUGCUCACUUAGCUGACGGAUCUGUAGCCCCGGGAGAUCUCGUCCUCUCCAUUUCCACGCUGUUUAGGCGUCUUCCGUUUCAAGUGUGUGUUUGGGGUAUUUUUUUUUUUUCUUUUAGAUGUUUUUCGUCUCCCACUAAAUCUUCUCGGGAAUACUGCAUAUCGAAGCAGGUGGUUCCUGGUACGAAAUCUUUGGAUACAUUUUAUUUGCCAAGUUUUGCUUCUCCCUAUCCCCUCCCGCUUUGAGAGGCAUCCUUGGUGCUUUUCUUUCGGAUUUACAUGCAGAAAACGUAUCUAUGUUUAUAUGCCGACCGGAUAAUUUAUAAGUACGUACAUAUACGCGUGCCCAAGCACCUGGCUUUCGUCUCCUUCCCGACCAGGAGGAAUGUUUUGGAGCCCAUGGAUAAGGAGCACAGUAUUAACAUUCUUCUAAGGCUGUUUUUCAAAAAGGGGAGGGAGCGUGAAGAAUUGUUUAACAUUCGGCCGCCGUUUGGCUGCACACUAAGCACCACGAAGUAUUUAUGGUUGCAGAUCAGGUGCAAACGGGGCUUACAGAGAAAGGUAAGGGAGCUUCCUGCGUCCACCCGUCCCGACGUUUAUCUUAAUUCCCGGGAUUACCGAAAACUUCCUUCCUACUCCUUGCCUGACCCUGGCCUCCCCCAGCUCCCCCACCCCUGCCCGCGGUCUCUCCGGUUCGCUUAACCCUUGUCCAGUUCCUUUGGGCUGAGAAUGGUAGUGGUGGCGUCGACAGUACUGGAGGUGGAAUCGUCUGUUUGAGUUUAAAUGCGUCUCUCUUUUUUUCCCCUUUGAGUAACUGAGUUUUCCAAUCCCCCUUUUUAGCAGUCUCAAGAAAUGUUAUUUUGUCCUUAAAAAAAAAACAACCCGUUACGUAGAUAACUGCUUUAACCAUGUAUUGGUGCCAACUCCUCACCGGUGUCCUCUGGAAAAAUAAUAAAAGCAAUAAAAAUGAUGAACUUUAAUGAGCUGGGUGGUUUCUUCAGUACUGAGGGACAUGGAACCUCUCAAAUGAUUCUUUUCAUUAAAAAAAAAGAAAAAAAGAAAAAAGAAAGAAAAACCGGGGAAAAAAACCCAAAUCAAUACCACGGGAGGAGGCCACAGUGAAGGAAAUUCGGCUUCCAUUUCUGCAUAAAGCAAUUCAUUUCACUUGGAGGGUAAUUCGCCAGAGUUUCGAGAGAUGAAGCGAAGUCUCCCGUGGGAGAACCUACAGCACUUAAUUCCUGCUCAAAUGCAUCCUUUUCCUCUACGACGAAACUGUGUACAUCUUGAACCAGGAGAGAUCCCGGUAGAUGACCAAUCAGACGUUGGAGGGGAUAUAGACCCGCAGCUAACUGGAUUUGAUUUAUAAGAAGGAAAUCUACAGUCAAUGGCCA
rnacentral:lncRNA from 1 species